UAUCUCUGUAGAGUCUGCAUAUCAAUAAGCGGAGGAAAAGAAACUAACUAGGAUUCCCUCAGUAACGGCGAGUGAAGCGGGAAGAGCUCAAAUUUGAAAUCUUCAAGGUUCUACCUUGACGAAUCGUAGUUUAAAGAAGUGUUUUCUGUUGGAGUUUUGGUAAAAGUUCUUUGGAAUAGGACAUCAUAGAGGGUGAGAAUCCCGUAUUUGACCAUUACUUCCAGCGUUGUGAUACACUUUCAAAGAGUCGGAUUGUUUGGGGACGCAGUCCAAAAUGGGUGGUAAAUUUCAUCUAAAGCUAAAUAUUGGCGAGAGACCGAUAGCGAACAAGUACCGUGAGGGAAAGAUGAAAAGAACUUUGAAAAGAGAGUUAAACAGUACGUGAAAUUGUCAAAAGGGAAGCGUUUGACACCAGUGUUGUUUUCUCGAAAAUCAAUUAAAAAUGGCAUUGAUUUUGUGUUGUAUUGACCUUAUAAGCUUUCUGCACUUUUUUCAUGUCUUUUUUUAAUGCACUUUUCGUUUAACAAGUCAACAUCAAUUUCUUUUGUUGUAAAAGGGUCAUUGGAAGGUGGCUUUCUUUUCGGAGAAAGUGUUUAUAGCCUUUGCCUCUGCAAUCGGAGAGAUUGAGGUCUGCAGCGUAGAUCCUUCUGGAUUAGAUACAUUUGUGCUAAGUUAUAACCGUUUCAUAGACAACUUGUUGACUAUGAUCGAUCAUGUAGCUUACUCGCUUAUGCUAUUUUACCUACGCUUAGGAUGUUGAAGAUGUAGCACAUCAU
rnacentral:rRNA from 1 species